UUUCCCUUUUUCCACUGUGUACAGCUUCACCAGUAAAAUCUCAUGGGCACAAAGUGCGAAAUGCAAGUUCAAAGUGCAUGUGCAUGUGCAGAGAAUUCCCUAAUGGAAAAAUAAUGUGUCGCUCUACACAGUUACCCAACAAUGUGGAGAAGCAGCGUUUGCUGAAAUGCAUCUGCAAGAAACCACACACAUCCGGCAAGUUACGGCGUCCUAGUAUUCCAAUCAGCCUUGCAUGAAUGAGUGGAAUUACGCAGAGACCAGGACUGACACAGCCCAUGUCACAUCGCACAAGAUGUGAUCACCGCAUCACUGCAUUUUCACAUGAUGUUAACUGUUACACCCCAUUAUGUCACUUCACGUAAGACAGCUCCAUAAGACACAGCACACCAAAUCACUUAAGGUCACCUAACAGUCACAACAUGACAUGAAAUUCUGUCACAUUAUGCAUCCCAUCAUCCUUGCAAU